rnacentral:lncRNA from 1 species
GAAUACAAGAGCAAUAGAAUAUAGGUAAAUUCCACACACCAUGUAACUUACAAUUGAUUGAAUACAUAUUACAGGCACAAAUUAGUUACAAAAAAAAAAAGAACAAACCGACAUGUAAUUUAGUGGUGCAAUUCAGUCGAAAAACUGAUGAGCUAACGACGAGGAUGAAAUUGCACCUCAUAAUUUUAUUUUGAGAUCCUGAAAAUAUCAGAUUUACACAGAUAUAUAAUACAUAUGGAGAGAUUUUAAAAAAGUAAAGAAACAUUACAUAGUGGUACGUAAUUGCUAUGAAUUGAUCAUGAUGGGAAGGUUGAUGAUGAGAUAUGUUGUGAGGAUGAAAUUGGAUGGUGGUGGAUAUGUAUUUGUGUGGUCAUCAACUACCACUCCCUUUCCCUUUCCUGCGUGCAAAAACGUCCCUCAUCUUAGGUAACGGUGUACCACUUGGGCUAGUAGUGGUUGAAGUGUUGGGAGGAUUACUAGGUCUUGAACUAUAGAAAACAUCUUUGAUGGCUAUUUUUGGUGGUGUUUCAUGCUGGCUAGUGUUUGAAGUUUUAGGACCGGAAGAGUUGCUUAAGCUAUUGGGCCACAAAGCUUUUUUUAUGAGAUUUUUGGAAUCAGCCAUUGAUGGGAGCUAGCUAGCUAAGUAGAAGGAGAAAAGGAAAA